CACACACACACACACACAGAUUUAGUGGUUGUGGCGCCCAGUCGCGAGUGUGAAGAAGGGACCAGAUGGGUCGGGCAGAAAGGAGAACCAGGAGCCACAGCCGCGGCUCACGCUCCACCGCAACAUCAAGAUUACAAGUGGACACCUGAGUCAGCAGGACCUGGAAUCCCAGAUGAGAGAGAGCUUAUCUACAUGGACUCAGAUCUUGUUGUCACCCCCAUUAAUGACAAUCCAAGGGUACAGAAAGCACUCUAACAAGUAAUGAAAAAACCACCAUCAGUUAAAUUUGAUCCAAAAAUAUUGCAUCUACCAGCAUUUUCAGUUCCAAUUGCUAAUCCAGCAUUCGCAGAUAGCUCUAAACUGCGAUAU
rnacentral:sRNA from 1 species